rnacentral:tRNA from 2 species
GGGUCGUUAGCUCAGUUGGAAGAGCAGUUGACUUUUAAUCAAUUGGUCGCAGGUUCGAAUCCUGCACGACCCACCA